rnacentral:rRNA from 1 species
AUUGAACGCUGGCGGCAGGCCUAACACAUGCAAGUCGAACGAGUGGCGGACGGGUGAGUAAUGCCUGGGAAACUGCCCGAUGGAGGGGGAUAACUACUGGAAACUGUAGCUAAUACCGCCUACCAUCGGAUGUGCCCAGAUGGGAUUAGCUAGUAGGUGGGGUAAAGGCUCACCUAGGCGACGAUCCCUAGCUGGUCUGAGAGGAUGACCAGCAACACUGGAACGGAGACACGGGCCAGACUCCUACGGGAGGCAGCAGUGGGGAAUAGUGCACAAUGGGGGCAAGCCUGAUGCAGCCAUGCCGCGUGUAUGAAGAAGGCCUUCGGGUUGCAAAGUUCUUUCGGCAGGGAGGCGUUAAUCACAGAAGAAGCACCGGCUAACUCCGUGCCAGCAGCCGCGGUAAUAC